rnacentral:rRNA from 1 species
CAGACUUUGAUCAUGGCUCAGGAUGAACGCUAGCUACAGGCUUAACACAUGCAAGUCGAGGGGCAGCGGGAUUGAAGCUUGCUUCAAUUGCCGGCGACCGGCGCACGGGUGAGUAACGCGUAUCCAACCUUCCGUACACUCAGGGAUAGCCUUUCGAAAGAAAGAUUAAUACCUGAUGGUAUGAUGAGAUUGCAUGAUAGCAUCAUUAAAGAUUUAUCGGUGCACGAUGGGGAUGCGUUCCAUUAGGUAGUAGGCGGGGUAACGGCCCACCUAGCCAACGAUGGAUAGGGGUUCUGAGAGGAAGGUCCCCCACAUUGGAACUGAGACACGGUCCAAACUCCUACGGGAGGCAGCAGUGAGGAAUAUUGGUCAAUGGACGAGAGUCUGUACCAGCCAAGUAGCGUGAAGGAUGAAGGUCCUACGGAUUGUAAACUUCUUUUAUAAGGGAAUAAACCCUCCCACGUGUGGGAGCUUGUAUGUACCUUAUGAAUAAGCAUCGGCUAACUCCGUGCCAGCAGCCGCGGUAAUACGGAGGAUGCGAGCGUUAUCCGGAUUUAUUGGGUUUAAAGGGAGCGCAGACGGGUCGUUAAGUCAGCUGUGAAAGUUUGGGGCUCAACCUUAAAAUUGCAGUUGAUACUGGCGUCCUUGAGUGCGGUUGAGGUGUGCGGAAUUCGUGGUGUAGCGGUGAAAUGCUUAGAUAUCACGAAGAACUCCGAUUGCGAAGGCAGCACACUAAUCCGUAACUGACGUUCAUGCUCGAAAGUGUGGGUAUCAAACAGGAUUAGAUACCCUGGUAGUCCACACGGUAAACGAUGGAUACUCGCUGUUGGCGAUAUACUGUCAGCGGCUUAGCGAAAGCGUUAAGUAUCCCACCUGGGGAGUACGCCGGCAACGGUGCAACUCAAAGGAAUUGACGGA